rnacentral:lncRNA from 1 species
CCCCCAGAGAUUCUAACAAGUCAGCAUUGACAAAGCUUUAGAUCCAGAAAACAAAAGGAUCUUCUUUGGCUGCCUUCCCAGUGGGUCCAGGAAGGGGAUCUGUAGGCAUGCUGAUAAUGAAAUCUCUUGCUGACAACUGAAGACCAGGGCCACCCUCUUCUGCUACGUCUUCAGGGCACAAAAGCUGGAGUCUGUUUAAGUUAAUUCCCUUUCUUGGACUUUGAAGGCCAAGAACUGGGGCAUGCUGAUUUAUGCAAACUAGAUGUAAAUUAACCCUGAAUUUACUGGAAAUCAGUGGCUCCUCUGCCAGGAAGACUUAGGGAAAAUUUGGAAUCUACUUCCCAAGAGAAAUAUAAAAAUAGAGUAGCUUUAGGCUAGGACUGAGGGGUGUGGCUGGAAGUUAUGGGAGGAAGGUGCAGAGUGUAGCUUCCAUCUUGGGCUCUAAGCCACCCAGCAACAGAGGAAGUAAAAGUAUCAAAGAUGUAUCAAACCACCAAGCCUCCCGCCUUCUCUUUCAGUUCCAAAUCCUGUCAAGAACCACUCACCCCAGAGAGCAGAACACUUACCCCAGAGUUACUGCGUCUGUGGGAACCUAGAGUUACUGCGUCUGCGGGAACAGGAGCUUUUCACUCAGUUCCUAGUUCCCAUGACAAUAUUCGGCUACUCCUCCCCACAGGCAUCUCCUCCAUAUAUGCAGAAUCCUUUAGUGUGGCUGGUCAAAUCAACAGAAUGGUCUUGAACCAUGCCAGAGGGAAUAAGACGUCUGGAUGUUUCUGUAAGAAAGACCUUAGAGGAUAGCUCCAGAGUGGAUCAACUCGGCUAUGAAAGUCAGGCCUCUCAUUUCCUGAAGCAUCUCCAGUCACAUCUGGCAGGCUGAGGUGGGUCUCACACACGCUAUUGUCUCGC